rnacentral:rRNA from 1 species
GACGAACGCUGGCGGCGUGCCUAAUACAUGCAAGUCGAACCCAGUGGGGACGGUUGAGUAACACGUGGGUAACCUCCCAUCAGAGGGGAUUACACCUGGAAACAGGUGCUAAACCGAUACUGAUGGAUGGACCCACGGUGCAUUAGCUAGUUGGUGAGGUAACGGCUCACCAAGGCCCCGAUGCAUAGCCGACCCUAGAAGGUGAUCGGCCGCACUGGGGCUAAGACACGGCCCACACACCUACGUGAGGCAUCAGUAGAGAAGCUGCGGGAAUGGACGAAAGUCUGCCCGAGCAACGCCGCGAGAGUACAGAGGGUUUUCGGAUCGUAAAACUCUGUUGUUUGAGAAGCGGUAUCUAACCGGAAAGCCACGACUAACUACGUGCCAGCCGCCGCGGUAAUAC